rnacentral:tRNA from 1 species
GGUCCAAUGGUCUAGUGGUUAUGAUUUCUGUCUUACAUUUCAUGUAUCGCGCACAGAAGGUCUCCAGUUCGAACCUGGAUUGGACCA